rnacentral:rRNA from 1 species
AUUGAACGCUGGCGGCAGGCCUAACACAUGCAAGUCGAACGAGUGGCGGACGGGUGAGUUAUGUCUGGGAAACUGCCUGAUGGAGGGGUAUAACUACGGGAACCUGUAACUUAUCCCGUACUCCAUCGGCUGUGCCCAGAUGGGUUUAGCUUGUAGGUGGGGUAAAGGCUCACCUAGGCGACGAUCCCUAGCUGGUCUGAGAGGAUGACCAGCCACACUGGAACUGAGACACGGUCCAGACUCCUACGGGAGGCAGCAGUGGGGAAUAUUGCACAAUGGGCGCAAGCCUGAUGCAGCCAUGCCGCGUGUAUGAAGAAGGCCUUCGGGUUGUAAAGUACUUUCAGCGGGGAGGCGUUACCCGCAGAAGAAGCACCGGCUAACUCCGUGCCAGCAGCCGCGGUAAUUC